GACGAACGCUGGCGGCGUGCCUAAUACAUGCAAGUAGAACGCUGAAGAGAGGAGCUUGCUCUUCUUGGAUGAGUUGCGAACGGGUGAGUAACGCGUAGGUAACCUGCCUUGUAGCGGGGGAUAACUAUUGGAAACGAUAGCUAAUACCGCAUAACAAUGGAUGACACAUGUCAUUUAUUUGAAAGGGGCAAUUGCUCCACUACAAGAUGGACCUGCGUUGUAUUAGCUAGUAGGUGAGGUAACGGCUCACCUAGGCGACGAUACAUAGCCGACCUGGGAGGGUGAUUGGCCACCCUGGGACUGGGACACGGCCCAGACCCCUACGGGAGGCAGCAGUAGGGAAUCUUCGGCAAUAGGGGCAACCCUGACCGAGCAACGCCGCGUGAGGGAAGAAGGUUUUCGGAUCGUAAAGCUCUGUUGUAAGGCAAGAACGAGUGUGAGAGUGGAAAGUUCACACUGUGACGGUAGCUUACCAGAAAGGGACGGCUAACUACGUG
rnacentral:rRNA from 1 species